UAAUCCACACUCUAAUCGAUCCUUCAAAACAAAUACGCCAGGGGAGUGGUGCAGCGGAUUUAUUGUGGAUCUUAGGGUUUUGGUGAAAUUGGAUGUGGGGCAGCAGUGGUGCAGCAGCGUUGCAAACGGCUGUUGACCGGAAAAACGAUCAGGCUGCGGCAAAAAAAUAGGGUUUUGUUUUUGGUGGGCUGCGGCAAAAAACGAAUUGAAAGGUUUGUAUGAUACUUUGAGUGAAACAAGUUACAGAAGACACAGGAGAUGAUUCCGGCGAAAACGAACUAGCCGAAGUCGAUCAGAUCUGAUUGAAUAACCACAAACAGUUUGAAUGAUCGAUUGGAUCUGGGUUCCUGAGGGUUUGAGAUUGGAUUUGGCUGGGAUGAACAAACACACUAAGGAUCAGAAACUCUGCUCUGAUAUCAUGUUGUGA
rnacentral:lncRNA from 1 species